CCGCGCGGCCGAGGCGGGAACGGCGGGGCUGCGGCGCCGUCCGCCGGGUGGAGGAGCGCGGGGCUGGCGGGAGGGAGCCGGCUGGCGGUGGGUCCGGUCCCGGUCACGCCCGGCAGCAACUGGGAGCGGACUUGUGACGGUGUUACUGUGAGGAAGAAGAAUCCAGCCAUCUGUUGUGUGACUCUGCUCUCCUGUCCAUCUUCCUGGCAACCUCAUCCAGCAAUGCAGCUUGCACCACAUCAUCAGAUCAUGCUUAGAGUGUCCACAGUUGCUCAUACCUGGUUUUUGGUCAUACAUGUUUCUAGCUAUGUAUUUCCCAGUGCAUGCUCAGGUUAUGUGAAAGAUGCAUCUAAUACAGCUUGUCUGUACUCUGGAUGAAGAUAAAUGCCGAAUUGGAAAAGGGCUUUUUAAAGAUUAGCAACUCGGGUGUAUUACAUUUAUCUAGAUGAGUGAAAGGAUUCCUCCUAUUUCAGUGUUCAUUGAGACUCAAAUGUAAAAUGCAGAAUGAGGACCAAUUUUCUUAAAUGAAAAUACAUUACUUCAGUAUAUAUAUAAAAACAAAGAAGUCUUAAGUUAUUGCUUUUGAAUAAUCAGAAUAACUGUCCUUUGCUAUACAAACCUUGUCCUCAUUAUUAGGCUAACGUAGUGUUCAUAAGGCAGUUGUGACAUGUAGCAUGGUUUUGGUUACAGAGCUAGAAACAGGUGCAGUUUAGCUGUUGGCAUUGCAUAAAAAAAUGCAGAAAAACAGAAGGGAACAUCAGCACCAGCUAGACUUUUUUGUACGUUUGUUGUAAUUGACACCCAAUUUCUUCUGUUAUCAUUGGUAGCUGUCUAGGGAGAAGAUAAUCGUAAACUGCUGGCAGGUAGUCAAGCCGUAUAUUAAACAUGCAUCAGCCUCUCAAAACCAGGAUCUAGACACAAGUUAGUAUCAAGUUAGUGGAUGAAUUGGAAUGCACAUGCUUUGAUUGGAAGGAAGUUUAGCUCUUGUACUGAAACAGGACAGCUUGGAGACAGCAUUUAGGCAAAGGUAUACUUGUUUCUCAAAACCUACUGUUGGCAUGGACCUGGGGACAGUCAUCCAAAUAAUGGCUGCAGCAGAAGAAAUGGCACUUUUUAAUGCUAGAUUACACACUUUUUCUUCACCUUUCUAUUGGACACAGCUGUUUCUUCUUGGUGUUUAUAUAUUUUUCUGUAGUUCCAACAAAUAUUUUUUUAAGAGUAGUUUGUGGCAAAAAAUAAGAUUGCACUUCACUCCCUGUGCUUGAGGCAUUGUAAGUGCACUGACAUUGGUGGUAGCUUCUGUUAUGUGCUAGUGUGAAGGAAUAGUCAUCCCUGUCAAAUGACUGUUAAAGACUAAACAAAACAAAACAACCUUUAUAAGAAAAAAAAAAAAAAGGCUUGUUUUUAAUUUAAAUGACUAAAUCUUUUUGUUUCUAUCUUUGUUGUUUUAGAAACUAUAUGCUGUAACAGGAAAAGAAAUGCUGUGUGUGACAGCUUUGAGAUGCUAGGCUUGCUGCUUCUUGGUAGUUUUGUGACCGUGUUUGCUGUUUUUGGACUGCAAGCCUUUCAGUAGCUUCCAAGACCCUGGCACUAGAUGGAGCUUUCAUCUACUUGCACUUAGAAGUGUAUUAAGUUUAACCGCAAAUUAAAAACCGGGAAGAAUAAAUUAAGAUACGUAUGCCUGCUGCUACGUUUACAGUGCACUUUUCUCCUUUCGUUAGCAGAGUGGUGUAAAUUAUAAUUUAAUUUUAAUUUAAAUUAAAAUUAAAGUAUUGCAGCGGGAUCUCCUUGAUCUAGUAGGUUCUUUAUAACCACUCUUACUAGCACCCUUUAAAGUACUCUCAGGCUCAUGGGAGAAGUUGCUGUGAGUUAGAUAUGCUGAAAAUGUGCUUCAUGUUUAAGCUAAUGACUAGUCUGUGCUGAAUAAAGGUAAUGCCAUUUUCUGAACAAAGUUCCUGUUUAUAUUUCAGGAUGGGGUGGGGGUGACCAAGCCUUCUGUUUGCUCUGCUCAUUCAGUAAUGCAUUUGCAUUUUUACUUCAUGCUACCAAAGCCAACAAUUCAGAAUCAUCUGUUAUCAGUCACUUCAUUUUUCUCCAUGUGUUACCCUUGAAAAUAUUGAACAAAUAGAAACAAAUAAAAUCCAGCUU
rnacentral:lncRNA from 1 species